GAUGAACGCUGGCGGCGUGCCUAAUACAUGCAAGUCGAGCGAACGGACGAGAAGCUUGCUUCUCUGAUGUUAGCGGCGGACGGGUGAGUAACACGUGUAUAACCUACCUAUAAGACUGGGAUAACUUCGGGAAACCGUAGCUAAUACCGGAUAAUAUUUUGAACCGCAUGGUUCAAAAGUGAAAGACGGUCUUGCUGUCACUUAUAGAUGGAUCCGCGCUGCAUUAGCUAGUUGGUAAGGUAACGGCUUACCAAGGCAACGAUGCAUAGCCGACCGGAGAGGGUGAUCGGCCACACUGGAACUGAGACACGGUCCAGACUCCUACGGGAGGCAGCAGUAGGGAAUCUUCCGCAAUGGGCGAAAGCCUGACGGAGCAACGCCGCGUGAGUGAUGAAGGUCUUCGGAUCGUAAAACUCUGUUAUUAGGGAAGAACAUAUGUGUAAGUAACUGUGCACAUCUUGACGGUACCUAAUCAGAAAGCCACGGCUAACUACGUG
rnacentral:rRNA from 1 species